CUGGCUCCAUCCUGGUCUCCAUUUGAUCAUUAGCUGCUGCUGCUGCUGCUGAGAUGCUGUCGCCGCUGUUCUGAGUCCGUGGGCCACCUCCCGUGCUGCCUCUGCAAAGUGAUUCUCUCAGGUCCUGUCUUUCAGUUCUCAGCUCAAACGUCACCUCUCCAGAGAGGCUUUGUGGCACCGAGUUUAUGUGUCCCAGCCCUUCAGGCCACCAAUGUCUUUGAAGACGGUGACAGCAGAUUAACCUGCUUUUGAAACAAAUAAUCCAGAGAUCUAUGGAGACACAGUGACACAAAGGCCACGCGGGAGUGUGGGAGUAGAAAGAACAGGACAUUGGUGGGCUGCAGCGGAGCGAGCCGACGGCCACUGUACUUUCUCCAGGAGCCCUCUGCUGUCUGUGUGUGAAGGGGACGCUGCUCAGGGUCCAGAGUGAUUUGCCCGCUGCACACCCGUGUGCUGACUCGAAGCUCGGCUCUUGGUGGGGGAGAACAGUGCACACAGACGGGCCGACAGGGUAUGCACGAAGCCACGCACAGAAUCAAGAUUCACUAGACACGCAAAAAGAAAAACAGGACCCAUGACCAAGAAGCAAUGGUCAGAAGGCACACGAGGAUGUUGGAUGUUGGGAUUCACUGGUGAGGACUGCGGGAAGUAGGAUAAAUAUGUAGCUAAUGUGGAAAAUAAGAUGGUGUGUGACAAAUCACGACCCUGAACACUCGUAAAGCUCACUUCCAAGUGUCUCGUGGGUCACAGGGACAUGACCUCGGGGGCUACAUCUUGACCCUGGCCCCUUACUCUCUGACUCCUUCCUUGUCUCUCCGUUUCCUGGCCAUUGUGAGGUGAGUGGCUUUCCUCCUCCAAGCCCCUUCGCCAUGACGUUUUAUCCUCACCACAGGCCUAGAAGCCGCAGGGCCAGCUGACCGUGGACUGGAACCUCGGAAACUGUGAGGAGAGAAGAAGCACUUCCUCCUUUAAGUUGUCCAUGUCAGGUAUUUUUGUCCCAGGGAUGGAUGAGAAGGUGACCGACCUGGCUGAAAGUAACAUGUGAGGAAAUGGAGAUUUCAGAAGAGACAUAAAACGUCGAAAUGGCUGGACGUGGUGGCACACGCCUGUCAUCCCAGCACUCCAGAGGCUGAGGCAGGAGGAUCACUGUGAGUUUGAGACCAGCCUGGGCUACAUAGUGAGUUCUAGGUCAGUCUCAACUACAUAGUGAGACCCUGUCUCAAAAAACCAC
ensembl:lincRNA